AUUGAACGCUGGCGGCAGGCCUAACACAUGCAAGUCGAGCGGAUGAAGGGAGCUUGCUCCUGGAUUCAGCGGCGGACGGGUGAGUAAUGCCUAGGAAUCUGCCGGUAGUGGGGGAUAACGUCCGGAAACGGGCGCUAAUACCGCAUACGUCCUGAGGGAGAAAGUGGGGGAUCUUCGGACCUCACGCUAUCAGAUGAGCCUAGGUCGGAUUAGCUAGUUGGUGGGGUAAAGGCCUACCAAGGCGACGAUCCGUAACUGGUCUGAGAGGAUGAUCAGUCACACUGGAACUGAGACACGGUCCAGACUCCUACGGGAGGCAGCAGUGGGGAAUAUUGGACAAUGGGCGAAAGCCUGAUCCAGCCAUGCCGCGUGUGUGAAGAAGGUCUUCGGAUUGUAAAGCACUUUAAGUUGGGAGGAAGGGCAGUAAGUUAAUACCUUGCUGUUUUGACGUUACCAACAGAAUAAGCACCGGCUAACUUCGUG
rnacentral:rRNA from 1 species